UCUUCCACAAUGGGGGAAACCAUGAUGGAGCAACUCCGCGUGCAGGAUGAAGGCCUUCGGGUCGUAAACUGCUUUUAUGAGUGAAGAAUAUGACGGUAACUCAUGAAUAAGGGUCGGCUAACUACGUGCCAGCAGCCGCGGUCAUACGUAGGACCCAAGCGUUAUCCGGAGUGACUGGGCGUAAAGAGUAGCGUAGGUGGUUAGUAAAGUGAAUAGUGAAACCUGGUGGCUCAACCAUACAGACUAUUAUUCAAACUCACUAACUCGAGAAUGGUAGAGGUAACUGGAAUUUCUAGUGUAGGAGUGAAAUCCGUAGAUAUUAGAAGGAACACCAAUGGCGUAGGCAGGUUACUGGCCAUUUCGACACUGAGGCACGAAA
rnacentral:rRNA from 1 species